rnacentral:rRNA from 1 species
GACGAACGCUGGCGGCGUGCUUAACACAUGCAAGUCGAACGAUGAAGCCGGAGCUUGCUCUGGUGAAUUAGUGGCGAACGGGUGAGUAACACGUGAGUAACCUGCCCUUGACUCUGGGAUAACUGCGGGAAACUGUAGCUAAUACCGGAUACGACCCUCGGAGGCAUCUCCUGGGGGUGGAAAGAAUUUCGGUCAAGGAUGGACUCGCGGCCUAUCAGCUAGUUGGUGAGGUAAAGGCUCACCAAGGCGACGACGGGUAGCCGGCCUGAGAGGGUGACCGGUCACACUGGGACUGAGACACGGCCCAGACUCCUACGGGAGGCAGCAGUGGGGAAUAUUGCGCAAUGGGCGAAAGCCUGACGCAGCGACGCCGCGUGAGGGAUGAAGGUCUUCGGAUCGUAAACCUCUUUCAGUAGGGACGAAGCGAAAGUGACGGUACCUAAAGAAGAAGCACCGGCUAACUACGUGCCAGCAGCCGCAGUAA